rnacentral:lncRNA from 1 species
UUUUAAAGUCUAUUAAAAUGGUGUAGGAUGACUAUAAUAAGAGAGAGAAAAAAUUAGAAGGGUGUAGGUUGACUUUAAUAAGAAAGAGAAAAAGUUAGAGAGAUGCAGAAUGACUUUAUGAAGAAAGAGAAAAUAUUAAAAUAAUAUUAAUUAAGGUUAACAUGGUAAUUUUGGGAGGUGUAGGAUGAAAGCUUGGAGGUGUAGGAUGAAACACCCUUGGAUGGUUGAUAGUGUACCGAAACAUUAAAUAAGCCCAACAAACCUUGAUAGUAUGAUGGGCCCAUGAUCGCGGAGGCAGUGGUGAGGCUGAUGUUGAUACGGAGCCCAUCUAUAUUUCUGUAAUAAUAUCUUUUCUCCUUCGUUCAAUUCUUUCGAUGAUAUCUUAAAA